GAUGAACGCUGGCGGCGUGCCUAAUACAUGCAAGUCGAGCGAACCACUUCGGUGGUGAGCGGCGAACGGGUGAGUAACACGUAGGUGAUCUGCCCAUCAGACGGGGACAACGAUUGGAAACGAUCGCUAAUACCGGAUAGGACGAAAGUUUAAAGGUGCUUCUGGCACCGCUGAUGGAUGAGCCUGCGGCGCAGUAGCUAGUUGGCAGGGUAAAGGCCUACCAAGGCGACGAUGCGUAGCCGACCUGAGAGGGUGAACGGUCACACUGGGACUCAGACACGGCCCAGACUCCUACGGGAGGCAGCAGUAGGGAAUCUUCGGCAAUGGGCGAAAGCCUGGCCGGGCAACGCCGCGUGAAUGAUGAAGGCCUUCGGGUUGUAAAAUUCUGUUAUAAGGGAAGAACGACUUUAGUAGGAAAUGGCUAGAGUGUGACGGUACCUUAUGAGAAAGCCACGGCUAACUACGUGCCAGCCGCCGCAGUAA
rnacentral:rRNA from 1 species